rnacentral:rRNA from 1 species
UACGGGGGGAGCAAGCGUUGUUCGGAUUUACUGGGCGUAAAGGGCGCGUAGGCGGCGCAACAAGUCACUUGUGAAAUCUCCGGGCUUAACCCGGAGCGGCCAAGUGAUACUGUCGUGCUAGAGUGCGGAAGGGGCUACUGGAAUUCUCGGUGUAGCGGUGAAAUGCGUAGAUAUCGAGAGGAACACCUGAGGUGAAGACGGGUUGCUGGGCUGACACUGACGCUGAGGCGCGAAAGCCAGGGGAGCAAACGGG